GUGCAUAUGGCAUAUUAUUUUCUAGACAAUAAAUGCAUCUCUUCGCAUUAUUUGUUUCAAAAAAGUUUAAGGUUUGACCCUUGCAUAAUAAAGGGUUGAAAGAAUACUAUUACAUUCUCAGCUGCAGUGUCUCGUUUUGACCACUGGAUGGCACUGUGUCCCUGUCAGUUCAAGCUGGGUGCCUUGAACAGCUGUUGAAAACUUUUAGAAAGCCUCUUCUUGUUUAACGAAAGGAAUCCUACACACUUCAACAUUUAGCGUAACUUUCGACACUAUAAAAGUUUGUUUAUUAAAUGAGCCACAGAUGUGAUCUCUACAGCGUCUGAUCCGCGCGUAUGACGGUUUAUAGACAGAGACAGCUUGAGUGCAUGUGCGCGUCCCAGAGAGAUGUCAAAGAUGCACAUGCACGAGACAGAAGGCAGAAUCAUCCACAUGACAUAAAGCAUCCUCUGGAGAAUCAAUCCGUAUGGAGCAUUUUGGAUUACAGGCAGGGUUUUAAAAACGGUCUAAAUGGUGGGGGAAGGGCGCAUUGAUGCACUUAUUUUUGGGUGUCCUGGUGACCGUCAAUGACUGUGCAUCACACCUGAAAAUGAAGUGAGAACAUCUUGUCAGGGAUGGAGUCUUUUUCCCAUUCGGCAACAAUCACUCGGGUUGCAUUGUCUGCAGGCAUUGUCAUUGUUAUUAGCCUUGUGGAUUGCUUUAGGCUCAGGGGAGAGGGAGCCAGUCUGGAUAAUUAGUUUUUCCUCGAUGCCAGACGACCACACCACCGCUGUCGCAUUCUGGAAACAGGAAGUGCCUGUAUUGUCAAGGCAACAGCAAUCGUGCUUCUAGAGGGGCUGCAUUCCAGCACAGCUUCCCUGCAAACCAUCAAAAUAGUGACAGGACAAUGGCUUCGGUCUCGAUGGAGGUAACAGAUUGUU